UUACUCUCCAUGGAUACAGUACUUCGAGUUUGUGCUCAGGAAUCUUCUCUCCGAUUCCUGUUUUUUCAGGGGUAGCAGCAGGAGGAGCCCAAAACACUGCUCUUAAAAUGGAACACAUCCAACCUUCAGGUGUCCAUGCAGGAUGUACCACUCUGGAACAUCAAGCCUCUCCCUACAUUCCAGCAUUUCCAAAGACAUGCACCUGGGGAUGGGUUGAUUGGCAACACUAAAUUGGCCCUAGUGUGUGAAUGUGAGUGUGAAUGUUGUCUGUCUAUCUGUGUUGGCCCUGCGAUGAGGUGGCGACUUGUCCAGGGUGUACCCUGCCUUCCGCCCGAUUGUAGCUGAGAUAGGCGCGAGCGCCCCCCGUGACCCCGACAGGGAAUAAGCGGUAGAAAAUGGAUGGAUGGAUGGCAUUUGAAAAUAUUUUUUACUUUUCACUCUAUCAAAGACAAUGGAAAACCAUUUUCCAGAUCAGCCCUCGUAGAUCCUCCUGGUGGCCUAACAACUGAACUACAUGUCGAUGCUGAGUAUGAUCCAUCUCAAACAUUUGAGGAAGCUCUCCCUGAUAUAGGGGAUUGGGUGUACAAUGACGGAUAUAGAUUUAAUGAAGGAUUUGAAGAUAGUUUGAGUGAGGAGUGUGCAGAAGAGUCAAAUUUUAAGGACACAACAGACAAACCAAUACAUGACAAUGCAUCAGAAACCGUGGCAGAGUGCCUUUUGAUCAUCAUGGGUUAUGUAAACUGUCAUAAAGUCACUGAUAAGGCCCUAACCCAUAUGCUCAAAAUGUUCAAGUUGCUUUGUCCCAACAGUCUGAACACAGACUGCUUAAUUAAACCGUGUGCAGAAAUUCAAAAACUUUUCUGUAUCCCGCUCUGCAUCAUCACCUAUUAUAUUACUUAAAUCCUCCAGUAAUUGUUUUGGGCCAUUAGAAAGUAAACAAAUAAAAUGCCUGUUUUGUGGGACCAGUGUGUCAGAAGAAUGAUUCUCAUCCUUUUUAUAAAGUAUGGACAAAUUCAUUUCUUCUUUACCAUAGCACAAACAUGCAGAUUUUUCUUUGCUGCAAGAUAGUGUAUCAUAUGAGACAUGCAGUCAUGUUAUUCCCCUAUUGGAAACCUCUGCCAGUACAGUAGUAUCUUUGGAUGACAUAUUGGGUAAAGUUGUUUUCCUUGACUUCACAUCUAUGCCCGGCAUUGUGUUUGCAGUUCAUUUUCCAAACACACUUGAAAUUGUUUAAAUAAUUAAGGACUGAACUGGCAUAAGAAGCCACGAAUCAAAUCUUUGAUCAUUGUU